CGCAUCUGUGCAUGCAGCAUAUCAAUAAGCGGAGGAAAAGAAACUAACAAGGAUUCCCCUCAGUAACGGCGAGUGAAGCGGGAAGAGCUCAAAUUUGAAAUCUUGAAAGGUCACCUUUCACGAAUUGUAGUUUAAAGAAGUGUUUUCUGUUACGAUCGUAAUAUAAGUUCUUUGGAAUAGGACAUCACAGAGGGUGAGAAUCCCGUCUAUGAUUGCGAUUUGUAGCUUUGUGAUACACUUUCAAAGAGUCGGGUUGUUUGGGAAUGCAGUCCAAAAUGGGAUGGUAAAUUUCAUCUAAGGCUAAAUAUUGGUGAGAGACCGAUAGCGAACAAGUACCGUGAGGGAAAGAUGAAAAGAACUUUGAAAAGAGAGUUAAACUAGUACGUGAAAUUGUCAAAAGGGAAGCGUUUAACACCAGUGUUGUUUUCUGAAAAUCAACCUCUGUUAGCUUUAUGCAUGUUUGUUUAGACCUAAUCAGCUAUCUUGCAUGUUCUAUUGUUUGCAGUGGUGCACUUUUCAGUUUACAGGUCAACAUCAGUUUUUUUUACCGUAAAAAAGUUAAAGAAAGGUAGCUCAUGGCUCCGGUCGUGAGUGUUAUAGUCUUUUUCCUAUGCGGUAGGAGAGACUGAGGUCUGCAGUGUAGGCUAUUUGGCUAGAUACUCAGGUGCUAUGUGAUACCAUUUCAUAAACAACUUGUUGAUUAUGUUUUGUCUAUUGCAUACUCGCUUGUACUAUCAUACCUACGCUUAGGAUGUUGACGAUCAGCUGAGCGCG
rnacentral:rRNA from 1 species